rnacentral:rRNA from 1 species
UAACAUGCAAGUCGAACGGCAGCACGGGGGCAACCCUGGUGGCGAGUGGCGAACGGGUGAGUAAUACAUCGGAACGUGUCCUGUAGUGGGGGAUAGCCCGGCGAAAGCCGGAUUAAUACCGCAUACGCUCUACGGAGGAAAGGGGGGGAUCUUAGGACCUCCCGCUACAGGGGCGGCCGAUGGCAGAUUAGCUAGUUGGUGGGGUAAAGGCCUACCAAGGCGACGAUCUGUAGCUGGUCUGAGAGGACGACCAGCCACACUGGGACUGAGACACGGCCCAGACUCCUACGGGAGGCAGCAGUGGGGAAUUUUGGACAAUGGGGGCAACCCUGAUCCAGCAAUGCCGCGUGUGUGAAGAAGGCCUUCGGGUUGUAAAGCACUUUUGUCCGGAAAGAAAACGCCGUGGUUAAUACCCGUGGCGGAUGACGGUACCGGAAGAAUAAGCACCGGCUAACUACGUGCCAGCAGCCGCGGUAAUACGUAGGGUGCAAGCGUUAAUCGGAAUUACUGGGCGUAAAGCGUGCGCAGGCGGUCCGCUAAGACAGAUGUGAAAUCCCCGGGCUUAACCUGGGAACUGCAUUUGUGACUGGCGGGCUAGAGUAUGGCAGAGGGGGGUAGAAUUCCACGUGUAGCAGUGAAAUGCGUAGAGAUGUGGAGGAAUACCGAUGGCGAAGGCAGCCCCCCUGGGCCAAUA